GCGAUACAGGGUGACAGCCCCGUACACAAAAAUGCACAUAUUGUGAGCUCGAUGAGUAGGGCGGGACACGUGGUAUCCUGUCUGAAUAUGGGGGGACCAUCCUCCAAGGCUAAAUACUCCUGACUGACCGAUAGUGAACCAGUACCGUGAGGGAAAGGCGAAAAGAACCCCGGCGAGGGGAGUGAAAAAGAACCUGAAACCGUGUACGUACAAGCAGUGGGAGCCUCUUAAUGGGGUGACUGCGUACCUUUUGUAUAAUGGGUCAGCGACUUAUAUUCUGUAGCAAGGUUAACCGAAUAGGGGAGCCGAAGGGAAACCGAGUCUUAACUGGGCGUUAAGUUGCAGGGUAUAGACCCGAAACCCGGUGAUCUAGCCAUGGGCAGGUUGAAGGUUGGGUAACACUAACUGGAGGACCGAACCGACUAAUGUUGAAAAAUUAGCGGAUGACUUGUGGCUGGGGGUGAAAGGCCAAUCAAACCGGGAGAUAGCUGGUUCUCCCCGAAAGCUAUUUAGGUAGCGCCUCGUGAAUUCAUCUCCGGGGGUAGAGCACUGUUUCGGCAAGGGGGUCAUCCCGACUUACCAACCCGAUGCAAACUGCGAAUACCGGAGAAUGUUAUCACGGGAGACACACGGCGGGUGCUAACGUCCGUCGUGAAGAGGGAAACAACCCAGACCGCCAGCUAAGGUCCCAAAGUCAUGGUUAAGUGGGAAACGAUGUGGGAAGGCCCAGACAGCCAGGAUGUUGGCUUAGAAGCAGCCAUCAUUUAAAGAAAGCGUAAUAGCUCACUGGUCGAGUCGGCCUGCGCGGAAGAUGUAACGGGGCUAAACCAUGCACCGAAGCUGCGGCAGCGACACUAUGUGUUGUUGGGUAGGGGAGCGUUCUGUAAGCCUGUGAAGGUGGCCUGUGAGGGUUGCUGGAGGUAUCAGAAGUGCGAAUGCUGACAUAAGUAACGAUAAAGCGGGUGAAAAGCCCGCUCGCCGGAAGACCAAGGGUUCCUGUCCAACGUUAAUCGGGGCAGGGUGAGUCGACCCCUAAGGCGAGGCCGAAAGGCGUAGUCGAUGGGAAACAGGUUAAUAUUCCUGUACUUGGUGUUACUGCGAAGGGGGGACGGAGAAGGCUAUGUUGGCCGGGCGACGGUUGUCCCGGUUUAAGCGUGUAGGCUGGUUUUCCAGGCAAAUCCGGAAAACCAAGGCUGAGGCGUGAUGACGAGGCACUACGGUGCUGAAGCGACAAAUGCCCUGCUUCCAGGAAAAGCCUCUAAGCAUCAGGUAACAUCAAAUCGUACCCCAAACCGACACAGGUGGUCAGGUAGAGAAUACCAAGGCGCUUGAGAGAACUCGGGUGAAGGAACUAGGCAAAAUGGUGCCGUAACUUCGGGAGAAGGCACGCUGAUAUGUAGGUGAAGCGACUUGCUCGUGGAGCUGAAAUCAGUCGAAGAUACCAGCUGGCUGCAACUGUUUAUUAAAAACACAGCACUGUGCAAACACGAAAGUGGACGUAUACGGUGUGACGCCUGCCCGGUGCCGGAAGGUUAAUUGAUGGGGUUAGCGG
rnacentral:rRNA from 1 species